rnacentral:lncRNA from 1 species
GGUUCUGAUCCUGCCUGGAAUUAAAUGUAUAUGAUUUUUAUAGCAUGAAGAUAAUAACAUCUGUCUGAACUUUUUUUUAAUGUUUCAUUUUAGUUUAUAAAAAUGUUUUUCUGUUACAAAUCAUGAUGUAUUGUUUUAUGUGUACAUGUUAUGCUGCCUAUCAAGGACCCUUGAUUGGAAUAAUAAAUAUUCUUAUUCUUAUAGUUUUUUCACUGACCCCCUUAACCCCCUCUUAACUUAAUUUGGGAAAAAUGGAUUGACCAAUAAGUAUAUAUAUAUAUAAUCGGUGUCAAUUAAACAAAACUUGCAGCAAUUUUUACCCCC